rnacentral:lncRNA from 1 species
AAAAGAUAGAUAGAUAGAUAGAUAGAUAGAUAGAUAGAUAGAUAGAUAGAUAGAUAGAUAGAUAGAUAGAUAGAUAGAUAGAUAGAUAGAUAGAUAGAUAGAUAGAUAGAUAGAUAGAAAUGGGCCUCGCAUAGAUUAGUAGUGUGUAUGUCGUUUAGUAGAUAGGGAUAGAUAGAUAGAUAGAUAGAUAGAUAGAUAGAUAGAUAGAUAGAUAGAUAGAUAGAUAGAUAGAUAGAUAGAAAUGGGCCUCGCAUAGAUUGAGUGUGAUGCUUUGUAGAUAGAGAGGGGGCAGCAGUGUGUCAGGUCCAGCACUGCUCUGAAACACACUCCCAUCAGCCCCUCCCAUCAGCUCUUAAAGGCUCGCGCACGUCCCGUCGUCAGCCAUGUUGUUUGUCUGACAGCGCUGUACUGCAACAGGUUGUUAAAGAUCCUCAAUAAAACACUGCAGAAAUUCUUUAAAGAAACCCUGAAAGCCGAUUGUCAUCACGUUAAUUCAGAGGACAAUGGAAAAGGAUAUGUUUUCCUCCCAGGAGAUUUCGCAAAGUCAAUAAUGCUGUUGUGUAAUAUGACUGAGCUAGCCAGCUGA